UACGGGGGGGCAAGCGUUGUUCGGAAUUACUGGGCGUAAAGGGCUCGUAGGCGGCCAACUAAGUCAGACGUGAAAUCCCCAGGCUCAACCUGGGAACUGCGUCUGAUACUGGAUGGCUUGAAUCCGGGAGAGGGAUGCAGAAUUCCAGGUGUAGCGGUGAAAUGCGUAGAUAUCUGGAGGAAUACCGGUGGCGAAGGCGGCAUCCUGGACCGGCAUUGACGCUGAGGAGCGAAAGCCAGGGGAGCA
rnacentral:rRNA from 1 species